GAAGACUGGCUCAGGACCCAACCAGGGACUGCCCCCACCUCUGGCCCAGGAAACUGACCAUCCAGGUGGACAUCAUCCAUGUGCAGGGAACCACUUUGAGAAACACCUCUGGGCCCGGGUGGAAGGCUUGGAGUGACUCUGCUCAGACCCUUGAAGAGAUCUCCUGCCUCCUGGGAGCCUCAAGAGACGUCUACAGACUGUCAAGAAAGCAGAGCUUGGCGAAGGAUAGGACAAAGCA